rnacentral:tRNA from 1 species
GCGGGUAUGGCGGAAUUGGCAGACGCGCCAGACUUAGGAUCUGGUGGGUUAUCCCCGUGCAGGUUCGAUCCCUGUUGCCCGUA